rnacentral:rRNA from 1 species
GAUUAACGCUGGCGGCGUGCAUAACACAUGCAAGUCGAACGAUGAAACUUAAAUGAUCUCUUCGGCGCGAUUCUAAGUGGAUUAGUGGCGGACGGGUUAGUAACGCGUGAGUAACCUGCCUUAGAGAAGGGGAUAGCCUUUGUAAACGAAGAAUAAUACCCUAUGAUACAAACCCUACGCAUGUAGAGUUGGUCAAAGAUUUAGCGCUCGAAUAUGGACUUGCGUCUGAUUAGUUAGUUGGUGAGGUAACGGACCACCAAGACAGCGAUCAGUAGCCGGCUUGAGAGAGUGUACGGCCACAUUGGGACUGAGACACGGCCCAGACUCCUACGAGAGGCAGCAGUGGGGAAUUUUGCACAAUGGGGGAAACCCUGAUGCAGCGACGCCGCGUGAUUUAGAAGGCCUUCGGGUUGUAAAAAUCUUUUCUAUGGGAAGAAAAUGACAGUACCAGAGGAAUAAGGACCGGCUAAUUACGUG